GGAGAUGUGGCUCAGUGGUAGAGCUCCUGCCCUGCAUGCAGAAGGUCCUGGGUUUGAUCCCCAGCACCCUUG
rnacentral:tRNA from 1 species